rnacentral:rRNA from 1 species
UACGUAGGGGGCUAGCGUUGUCCGGAAUCAUUGGGCGUAAAGAGCGUGUAGGCGGUCCGGUAAGUCCGCUGUGAAAGUCGGGGGCUCAACCCUCGAAUGCCGGUGGAUACUGUCGGGCUAGAGUGCGGAAGAGGCGAGUGGAAUUCCUGGUGUAGCGGUGAAAUGCGCAGAUAUCAGGAGGAACACCGGUGGCGAAGGCGCUGCUCUGGGCCGAAACUGACGCUGAGGAGCGAAAGCGUGGGUAGCAAACAGG